rnacentral:misc_RNA from 1 species
AAGGAGUCGUCCAUUAGAGCGAGCGUUUGGGUGUAAAACCCGCACGCGUAAUGAAAGUGAAAUUAGGUGAGAGCUUCGGCGCAUCAUCGACCGAUCCUGAUGUUCUCGGAAGGAUUUGAGUAAGAGUUUUAACGGACGGACCCGAAAGACAGUGAACUAUGCUUGUAUAGGGUGAAGCCAGAGGAAACUCUGGUGGAGGCUCGCAGCGGUUCUGACGUGCAAAUCGAUCGUCAAAUAUGAGCAUGGGGGCGAAAGACUAAUCGAACUGUCUAGUAGCUGGUUACCGC